AUGCCUUAAACUAAUGAGUAAGGAAAAUAACGAGCCGGGGUGAUGCCUGGUUCCUCACUACUCAUGUGAGAAGAAUUUUUGAGCGGGUACAGGUUGCCCUCAGGAGGAUCCACCUACCUCGUGGGACCUUGGGGUGCAGUGAUCUGCCUG
rfam:Xenopus laevis strain J chromosome 4L, whole genome shotgun sequence.